rnacentral:tRNA from 1 species
GGAGAGUUAGCAUAAAUGGUAAUGCAACAGCUUGCUAAGCUGUCGUCAAUAGACUUACAGGUUCAAGUCCCAUACUCUCCGCCA